AAAGUCGUAACAAGGUCUCCGUUGGUGAACCAGCGGAGGGAUCAUUACCGAGUUUACAACUCCCAAACCUACUGAGAACCUACCGAUGUUGCUUCGGCGGUGUCGCCCCGGUGCCUGAGCUGCCCGGAGCCAGGCGCCCGCCGGAGGUCCCGAACUUCUUGUGUUGGCCUGUGGAUCUUCUGAGUGGUUGGCAAAAUGAAUCAAAACUUUCAACAACGGAUCUCUUGGUUCUG
rnacentral:misc_RNA from 1 species